GAGUAUCGGCGCGAAUCGUUUUCGGGCCCACCCGUAAUAAUUGGUCCUGCACACGGGUCGUUCAUGCACUCGACGGCGGUUACGUUAUGUAAAUUCCACGAUCAUACGCCGCGAUACAGCGGAAUUAACGUGUACACGCGCCUGAGCAGCCGGCCGAUGUAAUGGCUUAAGCCGUUUACACGUCGUUGGACCGUGCGGAUCUCUAUGGGAUGGGAUGGUGUCCAUCUCGGCCUCUCAUCGUGUUCAAUAUAUGCGAAUGCGUUUAACAGAGUCGAUGCUAAAAUUUUAAACAACUUAAUCAUUUUUCACAACAUUCUAAAUCACUCGCAAUUUCAAUACAUUGUAAUUUCAAAAGUGAUUUGUUUUUAUAAUAAAUAUAUACGAUUCUCUUAUAUACGUGAAUAAAUUGUAUCGAUAACCGUACUGAAUUUUUGUAUAAUGGAAAAUAUCAAAAGUAAAGGAAUAGAAAGGAUGUCGAUAAACAUAGGAUGACUUUCUCUGAUAAGGAAAAAAACUUGUUAAGUAUUAUAUGUACUACAGAAGCCUUUUAAAAAUAUAAAUAUCAAAUCCAUAAACAUUCAAACAGAAAUAUCAAAUUCAGAUUUCAACAGCUUACGGAAAUAAAAACUCGUAAAAUCGACAAUAAAAACAAUAAUUUUUUGCCAUAUUUCAAAAUAUCGAAUUUAUAUUUCAACAUUACACUAUAUAAGAAACCAAAAAGAUCAAAGAGAAAAAUCGUCCGUAAUCCUCGUCUCCACAAUUUCAUCUCUCGAACACGAAAACUAAAAAAUCGUGUUUCGUCGAGACCAACGUAUAAAGGAUCUUUUAUAUCCGGUAUUACAUCCGUCGUUUAUGACGUAAUACAGGGAACGAAACUGAGCAAUCGAGGACAUUCAGCCGAGCAAUCUGCGGCCCGCAUGCAUACAGAAGUUGCUAUGAAACCCAACUCAGAAAUCUAAGUUUCGUCAAGCAACGCCAACAUGCUUCCAGAUAAUAUUCUCAUCAGAGUAAUAAUUACCACGAUUCCUACGUGUCGCGUUACCUAAAUAUUCCUAUUAACAGAACUAAUCUAGCCACUCGACGCGACCACGAUUCGUUUGUUUCUAUCAAACUUUGACUCGUGCCGAAAUUAACAUUGAAUCUACAUACGAAAGGAAAAUUAUGUAUUCCAUCGCGAGCAUUAAAGGUGAUAAUCGGUUUUCACGUAUGCCAAUAUAAUUACGAAUCUAAAAAUUUAAUUUGAAGUUCUUUAAUUUUUCUUUUUUUUUUGUUCCAUUUCUAUUACGUGUUUCUUUUUUUCUCUUUUUCAAGUCGAGAUGUUUCUUUAUCUAAAAGAGAAUAUAAAGAAAAUUAUUUACAAUAAAUUCAAAAUUAAACUUUUGAUUCAUAAAUAUUGAAUAGAGAAUUUCAAAAUAUAUAAGCACUGAUUUAGAAUUAAUUUUUUCAUAUCCAAAUUUUGAAACAUUUACAAUUAAAUAUGAUGAGAAUUAUUAUUUAUUCAAAAUAAAUAAUCAAACAAGAUUGUUAUCAAUUCUGACAAUUAAAUCAACUAUUGGACAGCAUCGAAUUUACACAUAUGCCAUUACAAAAUUCCGCAUCGAUAUAGCUUUCUCGUCGAACUAAGGCCAGACAACUCGAUGAAGAUCUAUAGGGAAACACGUGGCGCACAUUGGAGGAAGAGGGAAAGGAGAGGAAAGAGGAAACUCGUUUCGCGGACUGAAAUUGCAGCCGAGAACCCCGUGGAAAGUUCUUGACAGAAAAAGAUCGAGUUUCCAACUGUCUACGCGGCUCUACACCACCAUCCCCGACGCGCCAUCUGCAACGUAUAUAAUCGUCCGCCGGAAGAUAAGACGAAUCUCUGCGUCACAGAGACGCGGCGCAACUUUUUCGCCGGACCAACUGCUGAUUACAACCCCGGAUACCAGACCACCCUUUGCUGCUGUUUUCCAAAAGAAAGGGAAGCAGAAGGCUUCUUCCGGUCAAGUUUCUUUGAGUCUGAUUCUAGAUGAGAUAGUUGGAAGAUUGAUUUUAAAGGGAUAAGGAUGAUUAAUUUUUCUUCUAGUUGAAAAGAAAAGUUUCCUUUUGAAAAGUUUGAUAUAUGAAACUGUUUAUGAACAUUGAGAUGAUUGUUGAGAUGAUCUUAUGAGAAUUGACUUAGAUAUGUGAAACAACAGCUCAUGGUAGAGAAAGUAAAAAAAUAUUUUCACCAAAGCUCAUAAUUUCUGCAAUUUCUUUUAAAAAAAUAUAUAUAUAUUAUCUUGUGAUAAUUUAAAAAGUAUCAUUGAGAAGGAAGAAUUACACUUUAAGUAUACAAUUUAAAUAAUUCCCAUAAAAUGCAAUCGUCCAAUGAAUCAAAAUAAAACGUGGAACACAACGUGGAGCAAUUAUCCAAGCGAAAUGGAAAUGAUCAACCAAGAGGGGCAUCGAUCACGUCAACGAUUUCAAUCAUUUCGAUUCCUUCGGGGAACAUCCAUUUCGCGUAGUCAUUUCGAACGUUUUCCAACCCUUUGCCGGGAAUAUCUCGUGACGGUUCCAACGAAUGGCGUCGAUAGAUCGAAUCCUCCGCCGGUCCCGAGAAAUCGACGAAUUCCACGAGUCUGCGAUGCGAAUUUCCGAAUCCAUGGCGAAAAAAGCGAGGGAGGGAAGGUUGAAGCUCGAAAAGUCGAGCUGUCGAUCCGACGAAUGGGACAGCUUUGCCUGGCAAAUUUCGUAUCUGAGAAAUAAAUGGGAACCGUAGCAUAAUCUCGUUCGCUUACAGAGGAACCCUUGCAAGACAGGCUUGAGGUAUUGGAAGCUUUUUUGCUUUCGGUCAGGUUUAUACGGCAAGGAAGAGAUUUUCCGCGUGGCAGGGAAAGAUAAGUGUUUUUUUUAUUUCUCUUUUUUUUUCAAUAGUUAUUAUUGAUUUCAAGAAGAAAUUAUUGAUAUAAAGGAUGGACCAUCUUUGGAAAUCUACAAAAUCUUCUGGAUAAAAUAAUCACUAAAUUUCUAGAAACUAAUAAAUUUAAAAGAAUUUUUUCCAUUUAUUUUUUUCAUCUAAAAAAGUUGUUCCACCUUUGUUUUAAAAGAUUAUCUAUAUAGAAAGAGAAUGAUUAAAAUUUUUUGUAAAAAAAAAAAUUACUUUAAUCUUCGUGAUUAAAAUCGAUUGUCUUUCAGAAACGAUAUGUGGGUUACGAAAUGACGAGGAUUGAUGAAGUUGGUAAUGCCUAAGCACUAUCAUGGAGAGAUCAUAGAGAGAUCAUAGAGAGAUCAAAGGGACGAUAAUCCCUCCAAGGAGAUCAUUUGAAGCUUAUGCUUACGGCUCGAACCAGCGCACUGGCCACAAUUUUCCCAAGGAAUUUGCCAAAGACACUGUAAAGGAUUCAUAAUCGUAGGUUGAAGUCUUUGAGGCUUUAACCCUCGUCAACAUGGAUAUUCAAACCGAACGUAACAAGUCGAACAUAUCGACAAUUUAUAAUUUUAUAAUUAUAUCUUAUAUCUAAUAUAAUGAAAUAAGAAUUUCAAUAAAAUAAGAAAGAAAUUUACUGAUGUAUUAUUUAAUUUUGUUUUAGAUUUUACAUAUCAAUCAGUAAAAUAAAUAAAUAAAUAAAUAAUUUUUUAAAUGUAUCGAAAUUAAUAAACGCAUAAAUUGUCACAUUCUAA